UUAAAAUGGCUUAAAAUGGAUUUUUAAGCGUUUUAAGCGUUUUUGAGUUUUCCGGCCAAAACCACCGGAUUACGGUGACCGGAGUUUGAGUGAAGGGGAUAGAGCAUGUUGGCUCAGUCCUAAACUCAUUUGGCAGCAGUUAGUGCCGAAAUGUUUUUGGCAGAAAAUAAAGGGGGGGCCGAGCCCCGGGUCAAAAAUAUUUUACGGAAAAAUAUUUUUGGAUAUUUUUGAAUUGUGAUAUGUUUGAUGAGAUUUUCUAAAAGUGUAUUUUUAGAAAAUUAUGUGAAUUGAAUGUGUGUUAGAAUUAUAUGGAGUUAUAAUUCUAUGUUUAUUUAUUGAAAAUAAAUAAACUAUGUGGUGUAUCGUAUAGAAAUACGAUGACGCGGAAAUAGAUAGUCGGAAUCAAAUUUGGUUUGUGAUUAUGUGGUUAUAUGGUUGAGUCGGUCUAGAGUUUAUCCUAGAAUUUAGAGUUAUUACAUUUAUUAAUGUUUAAUCUCUAAAUUAGAUCCAGCGAGUUUUGUCGCGGAAACCGGCGAGCAAAGGUUUUGAAUAUUCGACGGGUGGUAUUUUUAUAAUUGGAAUAAGCGAGUACUGCGAGUAGUUUGACGUGUGGAUUUCCAAUUUCUUGUUCCGGAAAUCCCUGGCUUGUAUAAGUGAGAAUGACUUUCCUUUAUGUGUCUAGAGUUGCAGUAGCUAGAAUAAUGAACGGUGAUACCUUAGUA